UUUGAGUUUCUGACAGCUAAAGUAACUGGGAAUCCUGCUUUCCCAUCAUCUUUCUUUAUCGAUCCUCUCCUGAAUUUGGAAUGUAGUUCAAAGGUUUCUGCUGUUGUGAUGGAGGAUGAGGGUCUCUACUGCAUUCUCUUAUGUUUAAGACAUGUUUGCCCCCUUUGCAUCUCUUCUUGUUCUCUACCUCUCUCAGCCCUCUUCUACUAAAUCAUUUUCCCAGACGGCCUCUCUUACAUCUGUCACUUUGCAUGGAUCAUGCUUUGGACAUAGGAGAAGAUGAACAGGAAUGUGAGGAAAAGGCCACUGAAAUGUACCAUGACUCACAGACACAGAGAGAGAGAGUCUGGAAUACAGGAGGAAAAGAGGCAGUGUGACAAGAUGGAGAUUCAGACUCUUUCAGGAUAUUACCCACAAAUACCAAGUUGACAGCUGAAAUGAUGACCCUGGCAAAAUGACAAAAGCAACUGAAGAGGAAGCAGAUCUAAUAACGGGAGUUCUGGGUUAGGUCUGUGGCCUGAGAGUCAGAAUAUCUGGUUCUUCCCUUGAUGCUUAAGAACCACCAUGGCAGGCAAGGACGACACAGCCAAACAUGGGCUGGAGAAGGGAGAGAGGUGCUCCUGCUCAAGUGCACAUUUGCAACCCAGUCUUCCUAUGGUAUCCCUAGCUGGCCAUCUGUGCUGGUCUGGAAAUGGAACAAGAACUGGGAAGGCAAAGACUGGCUCCUCUCAAUCCCAGACAUUUCCCAUUCUUCAGACUCUUUGGAAGCCCAUUCUUCUGAAGCUGCCAUAUACAGGCCACACCAUCUGACUCUAGAACAGUAUUUCCUCUAAUCUCUGAUCAAACCAAACUAAACCAAACCAAACCAUACUUUUUGGAAUCAGAAGACCUGGAUUUAAGUCACGUCGCCAUU